AAGGAUAAAUUCUACUGUUUAUAAGCCACCCAACUUGUAUUAUUCUGUUACAGGUAAAAGCCACUCCCCAUGUGCCUUGUGCCUCCUACUGGGACCUCAGUCUACUCCAGCACAGAUUAAGAUCCCAUAUGAGGAGAAUGAAGAGUCCCCUGAGUGGAUUGUGAUUUGUUUAACCUCCUUUGGAUGGAUUUUGAUUGGCCAUUUCUCUUAUCCAUCCUACAUAGUCAAGUUGUAGGAUGGUGAACUUAAUGAGACAGAAUGAAAGACUUCCCCUUGGUAAGUAAAGAGACACUCUAGCUUGAGAAACAGGUUUCUCAUUUCCCUUUCUUCCUUCCUGGAAGGUGGGCAUACCAGCACACCUAACAUCUCCCAUGGAAGUAGCCACCUCAGGACCAUGGCAUAAGGGCAUGAGAACAAAGCCAACACAGUAAGGAUGGCGGAGCAGAAACUGCUCACAAUAGUAUCACUAAGCAUCUGAAUCUAUAAUUGACCUUCAUAAGGUGACAUUUUAUUACCUCACCAUCUUUGGAGCCUGUAGACCUGUAUGCAUUAUGUUCAGGAACUCAGGUCUGGGCAAAGAUGGAUGAAAGCUGGGAACUUGUUGAACAAGCCAGCUUAACCUGGGCCUAGAAUGGAAAGCCAGAAGAUACAAUAACACUGAAUUGUGUGAACCAGUUUCUCCCUUCCCUUCUCUUCCCUUCCUCCCCUUCCUUCCCUCCUCCCCUCCC
rnacentral:lncRNA from 1 species